rnacentral:rRNA from 1 species
GAUGAACGCUGGCGGCGUGCCUAAUACAUGCAAGUCGAGCGAACGGACGAGAAGCUUGCUUCUCUGAUGUUAGCGGCGGACGGGUGAGUAAAACGUGGAUAACCUACCUAUAAGACUGGGAUAACUUCGGGAAACCGGAGCUAAUACCGGAUAAUAUUUUGAACCGCAUGGUUCAAAAGUGAAAGACGGUCUUGCUGUCACUUAUAGAUGGAUCCGCGCUGCAUUAGCUAGUUGGUAAGGUAACGGCUUACCAAGGCAACGAUGCAUAGCCGACCUGAGAGGGUGAUCGGCCACACUGGAACUGAGACACGGUCCAGACUCCUACGGGAGGCAGCAGUAGGGAAUCUUCCGCAAUGGGCGAAAGCCUGACGGAGCAACGCCGCGUGAGUGAUGAAGGUCUUCGGAUCGUAAAACUCUGUUAUUAGGGAAGAACAUAUGUGUAAGGAACUGUGCACAUCUUGACGGUACCUAAUCAGAAAGCCACGGCUAACUACGUG